GACGAACGCUGGCGGCGUGCUUAACACAUGCAAGUCGAACGGAAAGGCCCUGCUUGCAGGGUACUCGAGUGGCGAACGGGUGAGUAACACGUGGGUGAUCUGCCCUGCACUUCGGGAUAAGCUUGGGAAACUGGGUCUAAUACCGGAUAGGAGCCAUCUUUAGUGUGGUGGUUGGAAAGUUUUUUCGGUGUAGGAUGAGCUCGCGGCCUAUCAGCUUGUUGGUGGGGUAAUGGCCUACCAAGGCGGCGACGGGUAGCCGGCCUGAGAGGGUGUACGGCCACAUUGGGACUGAGAUACGGCCCAGACUCCUACGGGAGGCAGCAGUGGGGAAGAUUGCACAAUGGGCGCAAGCCUGAUGCAGCGACGCCGCGUGGGGGAUGAAGGCCUUCGGGUUGUAAACUCCUUUCGCUAGGGACGAAGCUUUUUGUGACGGUACCUAGAUAAGAAGCACCGGCUAACUACGUG
rnacentral:rRNA from 1 species